UAAUACGGAGGGGGCCAGCGUUGUUCGGAAUUAUUGGGCGUAAAGGGCGCGUAGGCGGCUAGGUAAGUCAGAUGUGAAAGCCCGGGGCUCAACCCCGGAAGUGCAUUUGAAACUGCAAGACUUGAGUAUGGGAGAGGGAAGUGGAAUUCCAGGUGUAGAGGUGAAAUUCGUAGAUAUCUGGAGGAACACCGGUGGCGAAGGCGACUUCCUGGACCAAUACUGACGCUGAGAUGCGAAGGCGUGGGGAGCAAACAGGAUUAGAUACCCUGGUAGUCCACGCAGUAAACGUUGAUCACUAGGUGUAGCGGGUAUUGACCCCUGCUGUGCCGCAGUUAACGCAUUAAGUGAUCCGCCUGGGGAGUACGGUCGCAAGAUUA
rnacentral:rRNA from 1 species